GCCAGCCCCCGGAGUUAGCCCUGCACCUAAGAAACGGAGUCAUUGGAUUCACCAAAAGAGUAAUCCUGUGGCUCAGCAUUAGCCUCAAAGCAACAGAUUUAGUGACUUCUGUAGCAGGGACCCUGGGUCAGAAGCAAAUAUCUUCAACGGCCUGAUACAUACUUCAAAGUUCAAGACAGCGGCUCUCGUACAAGUGUAUUCUUUGGAUCCCCCGCAGGGCUGAGAAUGGUGCUGUACCCUGACCAAACAGAUGAGUGCAGGUGGCACAGGUUCCAUGGCCUCUGUAUGGUGUGACUGCUCUAGGUCAACAUCUUCUAGGACACCAAGUUAAAUCAAUAAAUUACUGGAUACUUACUAUGCAAGGUGCUAUAUGGAACUAAAGAUCAUGGAGUGUCUAGAUUUUACCACCUGAGUGUGAAAUAAAACAGCGACAUUUUCCAACCUGGGAAAAUAUCAAGUUCAUUCCACUAACAUCCAGAAAUGAUUU